CCCUUAGAUGUCCUGGGCCGCACGCGCGCUACACUGACAUGUUCAACAAGUUUCUCCUAGUUCGACAGGACUGGGAAAUCUUUGAACGCAUGUCGUGAUAGGGAUAGAUCAUUACAAUUAUUGAUCUUGAACGAGGAAUUCCUAGUAAACGCGAGUCAUCAGCUCGCAUUGAUUACGUCCCUGCCCUUUGUACACACCGCCCGUCGCACCUACCGAUUGAAUGUUUCGGUGAAGAUUCCGGAUAGGACUGAUUUGAUUUAUUUCAUUUCUGACCUAAAAGCUAUCUAAACCUCAACAUUUAGAGGAAGGUGAAGUCGUAACA
rnacentral:rRNA from 1 species